rnacentral:rRNA from 1 species
UGAACGUUGGCGGCGUGGAUUAGGCAUGCAAGUCGAGCGAGAACCAGUCUUCGGACUGGGGACAGCGGCGAACGGGGUAGGAAUACCUCGGUGACGUACCCCCCGGUCGGGGAUAGCGGCGGGAAACUGCCGGUAAUACCCGAUGAUCUGCCCAGGUUUUACGACAGGGGCAGCAAAGGUGUGAUUCCGUCGGGGGAGCGGCUGAGGUCGUAUUAGCUGGUUGGUAGGGUAACGGCCUACCAAGGCGAUGAUGCGUAGGGGGUGUGAGAGCAUGGCCCCCACCACUGGCACUGAGACACUGGCCAGACACCUACGGGUGGCUGCAGUCGAGAAUCUUCGGCAAUGGGCGCAAGCCUGACCGAGCGACGCCGCGUGCGGGAUGAAGGUCUUCGGAUUGUAAACCGCUGUCGGAGGGGAUGAAAUGCAGGAGAGCAAUCUCUCCUGUUUGACAGAGCCUCGGAGGAAGCACGGGCUAAGUUCGU